rnacentral:rRNA from 1 species
CCUGCCGAUGACUCGGGGAUAGCCUUUCGAAAGAAAGAUUAAUACCCGAUGGCAUAGUUCUUCCGCAUGGUAGAACUAUUAAAGAAUUUCGGUCAUCGAUGGGGAUGCGUUCCAUUAGGUUGUUGGCGGGGUAACGGCCCACCAAGCCUUCGAUGGAUAGGGGUUCUGAGAGGAAGGUCCCCCACAUUGGAACUGAGACACGGUCCAAACUCCUACGGGAGGCAGCAGUGAGGAAUAUUGGUCAAUGGACGAGAGUCUGAACCAGCCAAGUAGCGUGAAGGAUGACUGCCCUAUGGGUUGUAAACUUCUUUUAUACGGGAAUAAAGUGAGGCACGUGUGCCUUUUUGUAUGUACCGUAUGAAUAAGGAUCGGCUAACUCCGUGCCAGCAGCCGCGGUAAUACGGAGGAUCCGAGCGUUAUCCGGAUUUAUUGGGUUUAAAGGGAGCGUAGGCGGACGCUUAAGUCAGUUGUGAAAGUUUGCGGCUCAACCGUAAAAUUGCAGUUGAUACUGGGUGUCUUGAGUACAGUAGAGGCAGGCGGAAUUCGUGGUGUAGCGGUGAAAUGCUUAGAUAUCACGAAGAACUCCGAUUGCGAAGGCAGCCUGCUGGACUGUAACUGACGCUGAUGCUCGAAAGUGUGGGUAUCAAACAGGAUUAGAUACCCUGGUAGUCCACACAGUAAACGAUGAAUACUCGCUGUUUGCGAUAUACAGUAAGCGGCCAAG